AAGGUAGCGAAAUUCCUUGUCGGGUAAGUUCCGACCUGCACGAAUGGCGUAACGACUUCCCCGCUGUCUCCAACAUCGACUCAGCGAAAUUGAAUUCUCCGUGAAGAUGCGGAGUACCCGCGGUUAGACGGAAAGACCCCGUGCACCUUUACUGCAACUUUACAUUGGUGUUAGGAAAAACAUAUUUAGCAUAGGAGGGAGACUUUGAAGCAAAGGCGUCAGCUUUUGUGGAGUCACCAGUGAAAUACCUCUUUUGUUUUUCUUGACAUCUAACCGCUAGCCGUCAUCCGGCAGCGAGACAUUGUAUGGUGGGUAGUUUGACUGGGGCGGUCGCCUCCCAAAUAGUAACGGAGGCGUGCGAAGGUAGGCUCAGAACGGUCAGAAAUCGUUCGUAGAGUGCAAUGGCAUAAGCCUGCCUGACUGUGAGACUGACAAGUCGAGCAGAGACGAAAGUCGGUCAUAGUGAUCCGGUGCUUCUGAGUGGAAGGGGCAUCGCUCAACGGAUAAAAGGUACGCCGGGGAUAACAGGCUGAUACUGCCCAAGAGUCCAUAUCGACGGCAGUGUUUGGCACCUCGAUGUCGGCUCAUCUCAUCCUGGGGCUGGAGCAGGUCCCAAGGGUACGGCUGUUCGCCGUUUAAAGAGGUACGUGAGCUGGGUUUAGAACGUCGUGAGACAGUUCGGUCCCUAUCUUCCGUGGGUGUAGGAUACUUGAGAGGAGUUGCCCCUAGUACGAGAGGACCGGGGUGAACGAUCCACUGGUGGACCAGUUGUUAUGCCAAUAGCAGUGCUGGGUAGCUAUGAUCGGACAGGAUAACCGCUGAAGGCAUCUAAGCGGGAAGCCCCCCUCAAAACAAGGUAUCCCUGAGAGCCGAGAUAGACCAUCUCGUCGAUAGGCCAGAGAUGUAAGCGUAGUAAUACGUUCAGUUGACUGGUACUAAUUGCUCGAUAGGCUUGAUUUG
rnacentral:rRNA from 1 species